rnacentral:rRNA from 1 species
AGCUUGCUGUUUCGCUGACGAGUGGCGGACGGGUGAGUAAUGUCUGGGAAACUGCCUGAUGGAGGGGGAUAACUACUGGAAACGGUAGCUAAUACCGCAUAACGUCGCAAGACCAAAGAGGGGGACCCUCGGGCCUCCUGCCAUCGGAUGUGCCCAGAUGGGAUUAGCUUGUUGGUGGGGUAACGGCUCACCAAGGCGACGAUCCCUAGCUGGUCUGAGAGGAUGACCAGCCACACUGGAACUGAGACACGGUCCAGACUCCUACGGGAGGCAGCAGUGGGGAAUAUUGCACAAUGGGCGCAAGCCUGAUGCAGCCAUGCCGCGUGUAUGAAGAAGGCCUUCGGGUUGUAAAGUACUUUCAGCGGGGAGGAAGGGAGUAAAGUUAAUACCUUUGCUCAUUGACGUUACCCGCAGAAGAAGCACCGGCUAACUCCGUGCCAGCAGCCGCGGUAAUACGGAGGGUGCAAGCGUUAAUCGGAAUUACUGGGCGUAAAGCGCACGCAGGCGGUUUGUUAAGUCAGAUGUGAAAUCCCCGGGCCCAACAUGGGAACUGCAUCUGAUACUGGCAAGCUUGAGUCUCGUAGAGGGGGGUAGAAUUCCAGGUGUAGCGGUGAAAUGCGUAGAGAUCUGGAGGAAUACCGGUGGCGAAGGCGGCCACAUGGACGAAGACUGACGCUCAGGUGCGAAAGCGUGGGGAGCAAACA